CUAGGUAUUGGUGAAAGAUACAGUGGGAUCUUCAAGGUGCUGGGGUGCUCAAGGUCUCUUGCUUCUGUGUACAGGCCACAAACUCGCUUGGCUUGGAGGAGCAAUUACUGCCUGCCCGGCAUUUGGAAGGUGUUCUUGCAUGGGCAGGGUAUUUGCCAGCUGAGCUGAACGCGUGUCUGUGCAUUUGUCUUUCCAGGUGACCCAAGACAGCUGGAAGAAGCAACCCAAAAUCCAACCCGUGGGUGCUGACACCUGAGAGCUGCCUUUCCCGUCUGCUCCAGCCCUACACCAAGGAGCUGUUUCAGCAGAAGCAUCAACUUCGUGUACUUCUUGCUGCUUAGCAUCAACACUGAGAGAGCCUGAACUUCUCCAUCUCUUGUUGCCCCAAACCCUCUCUGUUCUCGUCCUGUCUUCUGGCAUCCCCUGUGCUGCAGAAACGUGCCACGAACGUAAAGUCUAAAUGGUGCAAGGACCCCUACCAGCUCCUGGGCAUGGUGCUCUGCCCCAAGCAGCACUGCCCAGACCAAAGCCCGUUUUCACCAGCUGUGUGCCCCCCUGACUCUCUGGUACUGCUGUUCUGGGAAGCUGCCUGGAUCCCCACUGGGCUGCAGCCCAGCAUGUGGUACAGCUGCAUCGCCCAGCCAGGGACCCUCCCUCACCCACCACCGUCCUGCUCUCUUGCCACCAGACUGAGACCACGGUCUGUUAAUUCUGGGUUGCCCCUGGAAUGA
rnacentral:lncRNA from 1 species